CGGCAACAGCUCAGAUUUGAAAUCGGCCCCCCGGCCGAGUUGUAAUCUGUAGAGGAUGCUUCUGGGCAGCGGCCGGUCUAAGUUCCUUGGAACAGGACGUCACAGAGGGUGAGAAUCCCGUAUGUGAUCGGCGCGCACCCUCCACGUAGCUCCUUCGAC
rnacentral:rRNA from 1 species